CCUGCUGACUUAAUUUGACGAAUAUCUAGAUUAUUUCAGCUUAAAUCACAGGAUCGUCUGGAUAGCUGUGCACAGGGACCCCAGUGCUAGCCCUGGCAUCGGACACAGACCUGUCAGUAACUUAUUGGCUGUCACAUCAAGACCUGGUGUAUUGAUUUUGGAUAAACCACAAUCAGAUCUACUCCUGACAAGGACAGUGCAUCGCUCCCACUGAGAGCUGGUGUUGCGGGCUUUACGGAUUCACUCACUGGCUAGAGAUAUACGGGGACCUCCCCCCACCCACCUCCGCCAUGGGCAGGUGAAAAUGGGAACUUGGACUAAGACCCAGCACCAGCAACAUUAGACACGACAGAAAUCAGAGAAGAGCUACCGUCCAGCAGUUUUAACCACCAAUACCCAUUUAUUUUAAUGGGAAAAAAAAAUCUCUGCAUUCUAUGUGCUCCAAAAAGAUUUACUAAUGAAACAAAUACAAUAUAUGGGACUCUAUCUGCAUAAUUUCACUAUAACAAAGACAGCAUAUGACUUCUACUUCCUACAGAAGGCAAACUGAAAAGUACAGGUGCAAACAGAUUGCAUAAGAAAGCGUGUGUGUUCAUCUGCGUGUGCGCGCGUGUGUGGUUAAAACCUUUAGUAAGCCACUGCAUUAAAAUAUGCUAAGACACUUACCUUACCCUAGUUCGUGGCGAGCGCUAAUCAAAAGCCACAGGCUGUCACUAGUUUCAUCUGAUAGAAAAAUUUGGUGUGAGCUUCGAUGGUUUACAGUUUAUCAACAAGAAGAUCACCUGAAUACAAGUACUAACUUUCCUCGCACUGCUACAUGCUCACGGAAUAAAAAUCAGCUACUUUUCAUACAUGAUGAACAUCUUUUAUUUUUCAGUUUUGCAAACAACGGUAGCCGAUUCACACAAAAAGGUUUUUUUUAAAACUACCUGUAUUUACUCUAUCUUAUGCACGUGUAUAUGAAACAAAUGGGGGGGGUGUGUGUUCAUAAAUGUCUGUCUAUACAUGUGGGUAUAUAUGUGUAUAUAAGGUGGGGCCUGCUGACGUCUUCAUAUGCACGUAUGA